GCCUGUCGGGACCCGAAAGAUG
rnacentral:siRNA from 1 species